AUACUUACCUGGCAAGGGAGAUACCGUGAUCAAGAAGGCGGUUCACCCAGGGCGAGGCUCAGCCAUUGCACUCCGGCUGUGCUGACCCCUGCGAAUUUCCCAAAUGUGGAAAUCUCGAUUGCAUAAUUUCUGGUAGUGGGGGACUGCGUUCGCGCUCUCCCCUG
ensembl:snRNA U1 U1 spliceosomal RNA